rnacentral:rRNA from 1 species
AACGAACGCUGGCGGCAUGCCUAACACAUGCAAGUCGAACGAGACCUUCGGGUCUAGUGGCGCACGGGUGCGUAACGCGUGGGAAUCUGCCUUGGGGUACGGAAUAACUCAGAGAAAUUUGAGCUAAUACCGUAUGAUGUCUUCGGACCAAAGAUUUAUCGCCCUGAGAUGAGCCCGCGUAGGAUUAGCUAGUUGGUGGGUAACGGCCCACCAAGUCUACGAUCAGUAGCUGAUGUGAGAGCAUGAUCAGCCACACUGGGACUGAGACACGGCCCAGACUCCUACGGGAGGCAGCAGUGGGGAAUAUUGGACAAUGGGCGAAAGCCUGAUCCAGCAAUGCCGCGUGAGUGAUGAAGGCCUUAGGGUUGUAAAGCUCUUUUACC